rnacentral:rRNA from 1 species
GUGUCAGCCGCCGCGGUAAUACAGAGACGUCGAGCGUUGUUCGGAUUCAUUGGGCGUAAAGGGUGCGUAGGCGGUGAGGUAAGUCGGAUGUGAAAUCCCAAAGCUUAACUUUGGAAGUGCAUCCGAAACUCCCUCGCUGGAGGACUGGAAGGGAGACUGGAAUUCUCGGUGUAGCGGUGAAAUGCGUAGAUAUCGAGAGGAACACCUGUGGCGAAGGCGGGUCUCUGGACAGUUCCUGACGCUGAGGCACGAAAGCCAGGGGAGCAAACGGGAUUAGAUACCCCCGUAGUCC